CACAAUGAUCACAAAACGUCGGCGACAUAAAUGUGUGAAGCCGAAAUCUGUGAGGCACAUCUACCUUGAAACGCUCCCUCAAGUACUGCACAAUAUUGAACAAGUAUUAACAGAAUUAGACCGAUUCUGCGUGGGACUAGAUACAUUUGUGGAAGUGGAUUUCAUGUCCUAAAUUGCUGGAAGAGCCGAAUGUUUUCAAAAACAUUCAUAAUUUGGUAAAACCUACUCUUGCAUCAUAAAAGACUUUACCAAAGAAAAUCCUUGCAAAAAGCGCAGAAUGUUGGUUGUCUGAAGAAUUUUGCAACUAAUUUGUGACCUCGAACUACAUGCACUUUGUUGUGUUUCACUGCCCCUCUUCUUUUUGUAAUUGCUCCCCCACCGAUAUUAUUCAUUUCACGUGGAGAGGAUGCAACUACAAUGUCCCUUCGGGGAACUCUGGUUUUGUAUACAUACGUUUUCCCUAUAGAGCUUGCUGGUGGAAGAUCCGUUGGAUUUAGUAUUGGAAUUCUAGUCCUGGAAUUAUCAUACAUUGUAUCUUUUUUUUUUUUUUUUUGUAGUUUUUGUUCAAGCCAAAGUUUCUUUCAAUGGAUGAAAUUCACGUUUAUGUAUAACAGGUAUGUUUUGUAUUUACUUUGUUUAAUAGAAAAUCCUAAUUAUUUUUGUUGAUAAUAUUUUUAAUUAUUUGAAGGAGAUAAUUAAAAGAGAAAA